CCUACGGGAUGCAGCAGUGGGGAAUAUUGGACAAUGGGCGAAAGCCUGAUCCAGCCAUGCCGCGUGAGUGAUGAAGGCCCUAGGGUUGUAAAGCUCUUUCGCCUGGGAAGCUGUACCAGGUAAAGAAGCCCCGGCUAACUUCGUGCCAGCAGCCGCGGUAAUACGAAGGGGGCUAGCGUUGUUCGGAAUUACUGGGCGUAAAGCGUACGUAGGCGGAUCAUUAAGUCAGGGGUGAAAUCCCGGGGCUCAACCUCGGAAUUGCCUCUGAUACUGAUGGUCUUGAGUCCGAGAGAGGUGAGUGGAACUCCGAGUGUAGAGGUGAAAUUCGUAGAUAUUCGGAAGAACACCAGUGGCGAAGGCGGCUCACUGGCUCGGACUGACGCUGAGGUACGAAAGCGUGGGGAGCAAACAGGAUUAGAUACCCCAGUAGUC
rnacentral:rRNA from 1 species